CUCUAUGGCCACACCAUGCUGAUCACGCCCAAUCUCAUCUGAUCUCGGAAGCUAAGCAGGGUCAGGCCUGGAUAGUACUUGGAUGGGAGAAAUCCCAAGACUGAUAAGU
rnacentral:rRNA from 1 species